rnacentral:rRNA from 1 species
AACGAACGCUGGCGGCAGGCCUAACACAUGCAAGUCGAGCGAAGCCUUCGGGCUUAGCGGCGGACGGGUGAGUAACGCGUGGGAACGUGCCCUUUGGUACGGAAUAGCCCCGGGAAACUGGGAGUAAUACCGUAUGUGGUCGAGAGACGAAAGAUUUAUCGCCAAAGGAUCGGCCCGCGUUGGAUUAGGUAGUUGGUGGGGUAAUGGCCUACCAAGCCGACGAUCCAUAGCUGGUUUGAGAGGAUGAUCAGCCACACUGGGACUGAGACACGGCCCAGACUCCUACGGGAGGCGGCAGUGGGGAAUCUUAGACAAUGGGGGAAACCCUGAUCUAGCCAUGCCGCGUGAGCGAUGAAGGCCUUAGGGUUGUAAAGCUCUUUCAGUGGGGAAGAUAAUGACGGUACCCACAGAAGAAGCCCCGGCUAACUCCGUGCCAGCAGCCGCUGUAACAC